GACGAACGCUGGCGGCGUGCUUAACACAUGCAAGUCGAACGAAGUGGCGAACGGGUGAGUAACGCGUAAUCAACCUGCCCGUCAGAGGGGGACAACAGUUGGAAACGACUGCUAAUACCGCAUACUGAAGGAGGGGAAUGCGUCUGAUUAGCUAGUUGGAGGGGUAACGGCCCACCAAGGCGAUGAACAGGAGCCGGUCUGGGAGGAUGGACGGCCAAAUUGGGACUGAGACACGGCCCAGAAUCCUACGGGAGGCAGCAGUGGGGAAUCUUCCGCAAUUGACGGAAAUCUGACGGGGCAACGCCGCGGGAGGGAUGACGGCCUUCGGGUUGUAAAGCUCUGUUAAUCGGUACGCGGUACCGGAAUAGAAAGCCACGGCUAACUACGUGCCAGCAGCCGCGGUAAUUC
rnacentral:rRNA from 1 species